rnacentral:rRNA from 1 species
GACGAACGCUGGCGGCGUGCUUAACACAUGCAAGUCGAACGGAAAGGCCCUGCUUUUGUGGGGUGCUCGAGUGGCGAACGGGUGAGUAACACGUGAGUAACCUGCCCUUGACUUUGGGAUAACUUCAGGAAACUGGGGCUAAUACCGGAUAGGAGCUCCUGCUGCAUGGUGGGGGUUGGAAAGUUUCGGCGGUUGGGGAUGGACUCGCGGCUUAUCAGCUUGUUGGUGGGGUAGUGGCUUACCAAGGCUUUGACGGGUAGCCGGCCUGAGAGGGUGACCGGCCACAUUGGGACUGAGAUACGGACCAGACUCCUACGGGAGGCAGCAGUGGGGAAUAUUGCACAAUGGGCGGAAGCCUGAUGCAGCAACGCCGCGUGCGGGAUGACGGCCUUCGGGUAGUAAACCGCUUUCGCCUGUGACGAAGCGUGAGUGACGGUAAUGGGUAAAGAAGCACCGGCUAACUACGUG